rnacentral:rRNA from 1 species
UGCUCAGGACGAACGCUGGCGGCGUGCUUAACACAUGCAAGUCGAACGAUGAUCAGGAGCUUGCUCCUGUGAUUAGUGGCGAACGGGUGAGUAACACGUGAGUAACCUGCCCCUGACUCUGGGAUAAGCGUUGGAAACGACGUCUAAUACUGGAUAUGAUCACUGGUCGCAUGGCCUGGUGGUGGAAAGAUUUUUUGGUUGGGGAUGGACUCGCGGCCUAUCAGCUUGUUGGUGAGGUAAUGGCUCACCAAGGCGACGACGGGUAGCCGGCCUGAGAGGGUGACCGGCCACACUGGGACUGAGACACGGCCCAGACUCCUACGGGAGGCAGCAGUGGGGAAUAUUGCACAAUGGGCGAAAGCCUGAUGCAGCAACGCCGCGUGAGGGAUGACGGCCUUCGGGUUGUAAACCUCUUUUAGUAGGGAAGAAGGGAGCUUCGGUUCUUGACGGUACCUGCAGAAAAAGCACCGGCUAACUACGUGCCAGCAGCCGCGGUAAUACGUAGGGUGCAAGCGUUGUCCGGAAUUAUUGGGCGUAAAGAGCUCGUAGGCGGUUUGUCGCGUCUGCUGUGAAAUCCCGAGGCUCAACCUCGGGCUUGCAGUGGGUACGGGCAGACUAGAGUGCGGUAGGGGAGAUUGGAAUUCCUGGUGUAGCGGUGGAAUGCGCAGAUAUCAGGAGGAACACCGAUGGCGAAGGCAGAUCUCUGGGCCGUAACUGACGCUGAGGAGCGAAAGCAUGGGGAGCGAACAGGAUUAGAUACCCUGGUAGUCCAUGCCGUAAACGUUGGGCGCUAGAUGUAGGGACCUUUCCACGGUUUCUGUGUCGUAGCUAACGCAUUAAGCGCCCCGCCUGGGGAGUACGGCCGCAAGGCUAAAACUCAAAGGAAUUGACGGGGGCCCGCACAAGCGGCGGAGCAUGCGGAUUAAUUCGAUGCAACGCGAAGAACCUUACCAAGGCUUGACAUACACCGGAAACGGCCAGAGAUGGUCGCCCCCUUGUGGUCGGUGUACAGGUGGUGCAUGGUUGUCGUCAGCUCGUGUCGUGA